rnacentral:rRNA from 1 species
UGGGGAAUAUUGGACAAUGGGGGCAACCCUGAUCCAGCAAUGCCGCGUGUGUGAAGAAGGUCUUCGGAUUGUAAAGCACUUUCGACGGGGACGAUGAUGACGGUACCCGUAGAAGAAGCCCCGGCUAACUUCGUGCCAGCAGCCGCGGUAAUACGAAGGGGGCUAGCGUUGCUCGGAAUGACUGGGCGUAAAGGGCGUGUAGGCGGUUUACACAGUCAGAUGUGAAAUCCCCGGGCUUAACCUGGGAGCUGCAUUUGAUACGUGU